CGGCUGCGCACACGCCCGUACAAACUCUCACACAGACACACGCGGGGUGCGCUGCCGCCGCCCGCCGCUGCUCCUCCUCCCGCCACCGCCUUGAGAGGGAGAGAGAGGGAGGCAGAGAGAGCGCUUUGUCCGCGCGCCGCCGCCCGGCCCGGGACUCUGCCCCGAGGAGGCAGCCGCGCCGAGUCCCCGCCUCCGCCUCUGCCCCCGGGCGGGCCGGGCCGGC
rnacentral:lncRNA from 10 species